GAUCAUCAACAGUGCAUGUUGGGGGCCAUGAAAUGGGAACCAGCACGCCUGGCAAGGAUGUUGGAACGUAUGUGGGCUCACCGAAACUCAGUUACCCCCUUUGGACGCUAGUCUGCGAUGAUGUGCGGUGUUUUCCUUUCCUCCGUGGCUUUUAGGCGUUGUAGUAUUGGCCUUGGGCCUUCGGCUCGAAUGGGUAGUUUUACAGGUAUGGGGUCACGCACCCCCAGCCAUGUUACACACAUACACACACACACACACAUAGAUCGGGAGGGCAGGAAUGUAUGGC
rnacentral:lncRNA from 1 species